UGACUAGUAGCUCAGUUGGUAGAGCAAUCGGCUGUUAACCGAUCGGUCGCAGGUUCGAGUCCUGCCUAGUCAG
rnacentral:tRNA from 1 species